GCCCAAAGUCGGUUUAGCUAACUUCGGAAGCGACUGCCUAAGGCAGGAUUGGUGACUGGGGUGAAGUCGUAACAAGGUAUCCCUACGAGAACGUGGGGAUGGAUCACCUCCUUUCUACGGAGUACAAUUACAAUUUCAUUUUUGGCCUAAAAUCUUAAUACCUGAUAUUUAAAACUAAAUUAUUUAAAUAUCUCACGAGGGUACUAAGUCAGUGUGUUGGUGUAGCCAAAAGCACUCUAAUAUUCAGUUUUGAGGGAUUUACCUCAAAAAAAUAGAUCUUUGAAAACUGAAUAGCAUAUAAAUUAAUAUGAUAACGACAUCAAAAUAUAUUUUGUGAAAAUAAUUUUGAUCCGAGUUGUGUCUAUACAUGGGUAUAGACACUAUAAAUACCUUAAGAAUACAUCAAAACAAAAAACAUUUUUUUUAAUAGGAAAAAAUAGUUACUUAUACUUUUAAAUAAGCAAGAGUUUGUAGUGG
rnacentral:misc_RNA from 1 species